UGUUGUCAUGUGGUUUUUAGUUGGCAGAAGUAGCCUAACUUAGAAAGUAACUGGUGUCACCAUGAACAAUGUGGGUUAUCUUCUACAACACACAUUUACCGUAAAACCAUUUGACUUAAAAUUUGAGAGUAGAGAACACCUCGGUGCCCACCAGCCGCGAGAUAUUAUAAACAAAACCUCUGGUAGUGGUUCUCCAGGAAAAAAUGGCUAACUGCUAGCUUAUACGCUAAUUUUGUUUCCCGUGUGUGUUGUUCGGAAGGGAAUCUGAGAGGAUUACUAUACCUGAAAGCAGCAGGACAGCUCGGUAAAAUUGGGCAAACAUAACGUUAACCCAAACUGACAGCCCAUUCAUAGGAGGAGUUGUAACGUUAUAACAACAAACCGGAGAACCAGGAUCCACUUUUAUUGUCUCGACAUUGUGCUGAUACAUUGAAUCGUCCUGAAGAACUUGACGCUAUUUCAGGAAGGAGAACAUUUAAUUGGACAUGUUGAGUAAUAUAAAAAGUUUUUUUGAUAUUUCCAAAUGUAACUUGAAUCCUAUAGUCUACUACUUUCCAAUACCAAUAGUCAAGAAUCUUGAUAUAAGCCAAACUAGAAUCCAUGUCACCAAAAAUCAAAGUACUUCAGGUAGGUUUUUUCGCCUACAGUGGUCUUGAUAUUCUGUAGUUUUUCUUCUCUUUUUUGCAGUAAAGUUCUUGAAGCUGUGGGAACAGUCUCUUGAAGCCAUGCCUGUUUUUGUAACAGUCCCAGUAAAUGGAUUCUCAGGAGUCUGAAGAUGUGUGUAUUUAUGUGUGUGUAUUGGUUGAGGAAAACGGUGAAACACCUCACUUCCUCUCUCCUCCACCACCUUUUCAUGGUCUCAGUCUGUGAUGCUGUCAGACGCUGGUGAUGGAGGCCAGGCAGUUCGAUGACUUCUGGAGUUUCUCAGGCUGUGUGGUGGGGGGUUCUGGGAUGGCGCGAAAGCUGAAUGGCAGUCCGAUACUGCUGGUGCCGAUGUGGCCGGGGCUCAGCGCUGGAUUCUGCCGUCUAUUGCUUUCCACUAUGCUGGAUGUGUUGGAUGCAAGGCUUUCACGCGUCCUGUACAAGAGACAACAGAAAGUCACGUGUUUGCUUUUUAAAUACAUUAAAUCUUAUAUUGGGUAACGUAUAAGUGAUGCUUGUCAAGAAAGAGGAAUACCAAUCAAAUGGAUUGCAAUUGUUUUAAAGUCUAUUUUGCAGACUGAAGAAAAAUGCAGAUACAUUGUAGAUUCUGAGAAUAAUAAGAGCAAAUUGC